UGAGUUUUUCAGUCUGUGAUCACUAUGC
rnacentral:piRNA from 1 species